rnacentral:rRNA from 1 species
GACAGAGGGUGCAAACGUUGUUCGGAAUUACUGGGCGUAAAGCGCGUGUAGGCGGCUAUGCAAGUCGGGCGUGAAAUCCCACGGCUCAACCGUGGAAGUGCACCCGAAACUGCGUAGCUAGAGUCCUGGAGAGGAAGGUGGAAUGCUUGGUGUAGAGGUGAAAUUCGUAGAUAUCAAGCGGAACACCGGUGGCGAAGGCGGCCUUCUGGACAGUGACUGACGCUGAGACGCGAAAGCGUGGGGAG